rnacentral:rRNA from 1 species
CUGCCAGUAAUCAUAUGCUUGCCUCAAGGAUUAAGCCAUGCAUGUCUAAGUAUAAGCAUUUGUACUGCAAAACUGCGGAUAGCUCAUUAUAUCAGUAAUUAUUAAUUUGAUGGUCCUUACUACUUGGAUAACCGUAGUAAUUCUAGAGCUAAUACAUGCGUGAAUUCUUUAAUAUUUAUACUCUGUAUUUAUGUUUUAGAGCAUUUAUUAGGUGCAAAACCAACGGAAUAUCUUUCGAGAUAUUCAAUUGUGUGAUGAUUUCUAGCAACUUAUUCAAAUCACAGGUGUGUUUUCAAAUGCUCCACCGGUGAUAGUUCAUUCAAAUUUCUGCCCUAUCAGCUUGACGGUAGUGUAGUGGACUACCGUGGCUUUAACGGGUGACGGAGAAUCAGGGUUCGAUUCCGGAGAGGCAGCCUGAGAAACAGCUACCACAUCCAAGGAAGGCAGCAGGCGCGAAAAUUACCCACUCCCGACACAGGGAGGUAGUGACAAGAAAUAACAAUACUGGAUCUCUUUAGGUUCGGUAAUUGGAAUGAGUACAAUUUAAAACUCUUAGCGAGGAUCAAUUGGAGGGCAAGUCUGGUGCCAGCAGCCGCGGUAAUUCCAGCUCCGAUAGCGUAUAUUAAAAUUGUUGCAGUUAAAAAGCUCGUAGUUGGAUUUCUGGCAAGAUACGCCUGACCCACUUCGUUUUUAGGAGUGCGCAGUCGGUGCGAGUCGGCCAUCAUCUUCGGGGAUUACUGUUCUUUUUAUACUUUUUGUGUAAAAUGAUUUGUACAAACCGAAACAAUUACUUUGAGAAAAUGAAGGUGCUUAAAGCAGGCUAAAGUUGUGGAUCGUGUAGCAUGGAAUAAUAACAUAGGACGUCAGUUCUAUUUUGUUGGUUUAUUGAAUUGAUCUAAUGAUUGAUAGGGAUAGUUGGGGGUGCUAGUAUUCAGUGGCCAGAGGUGAAAUUCUAUGACUCACUGAAGACUGCCUAUUGCGAAAGCAUUCACCAAGGAUAUCUUCUUUAAUCAAGAACGAAAGUUGGGGGAUCGAAGACGAUCAGAUACCGUCGUAGUCCCAACCAUAAACGAUGCCGGCUGGGGAUUGGUUAUUGUCUAAUCAUUUCAUUCCAAGAUCGGGCCCUUAAGAGAAAUCUUAAGCUUUUGGGUUCCGGGGGGAGUAUGGCCGCAAGACUGAAACUUAAAGGAAUUGACGGAAGGGCACCACCAGGAGUGGAGCCUGCGGCUUAAUUUGACUCAACACGGGAAAACUUACCAGGUCCAGACGUAGUGAGGAUUGACAGAUGGAAGAUCUUUCUUGAUUCUGCGGGUUGUGGUGCAUGGCUGAACUUAGUUGGUGGAGUAAUUUGUCUGGUUAAUUCCGUUAACGAACGAGACCUUGGCUUCUAAAUAGUUUGGAGAAUCUUUCGAGAUUCGUUUCAUAGCUUCUUAGAGGGAUUACCGGUGUUUUUAAAGCCGGUGGAAGUACAAGGCAAAUUCAAGUCUGUGAUGCCCUUAGAUGUUCUGGGCCGCACGCGCGCUACACUGAUCAGUCGCAAGAGGUUUCUAUGAUGAGAAUUUAUAGACAUUCACUAAUGCUGAUCGUGAUUGGGAUAGAUGAUUGUAAUUUUUUAUCUUGAACGAGGAAUUCCUAGUAAAUACAGGUCAAGAACUUGUGUUGAUUAUGUCCCUGCCCUUUGUACACACCGCCCGUCGCUACUACCGAUUGAGUGGUUUAGUGAGUUCUAUGGACUGGCUCGUUUCUAAAUGACUUUCCUACGGAUUGUUCUGAAAUGUUGUUGGAAGUAGGUCGAACUUGAUCACUUAGAGGAAGUAAAAGUCGUAACAAGGUUUC